AGGGGAACAAAUUGACAG
rnacentral:misc_RNA from 1 species